rnacentral:lncRNA from 1 species
UUCCUAUUCCUUUUCAUCCAUUCUCUAUUCCAAGAAAAAUUGCUCUGCAAGAUGGAAGGGUUUUGCAAGCCCUCAUAUGAAAUUUUUCAGUUAAAUUGCAUACCUAGCUUCUCCCCUCCCUUCUCAUUUUUGUUUUGCCUUUUGAUUUUAGAUCUGUUUUGUCAAUUUUUUUCAUUCGACGAGUUUCAAAUUUUCUUUAUAUAUCAGUUUUGUUGUUUAUGAUGUGGUAACUUUGCAUGCAUUAAAUCUAAAUUUGAUUAGAUGUUGUUGUUAUGGUCGUUUACUCCUCUUCUUCUCCGAUUUCCUUAAUUGUAGCUUUCUUUUUCAACUUUUUCUCCUUUUGUUCUUGAUGUGGGUGUUUUUUCAAUUUGUUAUUUUUUCACAAAUAGGACUUUACAGGUACUUGGAGAAGAAACGAAAGGAAAGAAGCAGGGAACAUUGAGCAUUAUCAAGUACAACGAACUUAAAUCUUGAUUUUUUUUCUCGAAAAGACUUUCAACUGGAAGGAUUAGCUAUUAGAGUUACCCUAAUUUUACAACCCUUUCUCCUAUGUGGAAAGUCCAGUAUUUCUCCCACUUUAGUUGAUUUAACUUUCCAGUUGGAUAUGCAGUUAAAUUAUAAUGUUGAAUACUAACAUAUGUAUAUGUCAUAAGCAUAAACUUUAAUUUGCUUAUAUGACAAGGAAGACUUUCUUUGCACAUGAAGAAUUCUUUGUAAGAUAAGUUAUUUAUUUUUCAUAGGGUGCAAACAAUCUCAUAGGGUGCAAACAAUCUCAAUUUUUAACACAUCUUAUUCAUUUAUCUAAAAGCU